rnacentral:tRNA from 1 species
AUUUAUGUAGUUUACUUAAAACCUUACAUUUUCACUGUAAAAAUAAGAUUCUAUAUCUUUAUAAAUA